CGUAUAACGAGUUGUUCAUUGUGAAAUAUGUAUUCAGAAGUAGUUAUGUUGGACCCUAUAUAGAGAGAAAUAUAUGCAUAUUCGUUUUUAUUUAAUUUUUCCAACGUAUGUUGGUAAUAUCUAUAUGCAAAGAAUAAGUGUAUGAAGAGAAAUGGUCUUUAGACGAAUCUUUAGAUUAAUUUUACCUAGUACACGAUCGAUACGUCUAAUAAUCACGUUUAUACCGUCUGAAAAUUUUCCAAAAAUUAAACUCGAUUACUUCCUCGUAAAAAGCACAUUUAUUUUUACUC
rnacentral:misc_RNA from 1 species